UACAGAGGUCUCAAGCGUUGUUCGGAUUCAUUGGGCGUAAAGGGUGCGUAGGCGGCGCGGUAAGUCGGGUGUGAAAUCUCGGGGCUUAACUCCGAAACUGCAUUCGAUACUGCCGUGAUUGAAGACUGGAGAGGAGACUGGAAUUUACGGUGUAGCGGUGAAAUGCGUAGAUAUCGUAAGGAAGACCAGUGGCGAAGGCGGGUCUCUGGACAGUUCCUGACGCUGAGGCACGAAGGCCAGGGGAGCAAACGGG
rnacentral:rRNA from 1 species